GAUAUGUAAUUCCCCUGUCUGUUAGGUUUUUGUACUCUUGUUUGUAUAUCUGGUUUUUUGUAUUUGUCUUUUUAGUGUUUGGAAUGCAGCCAAAGAUGGACUGAAAUGAAUGGAUUCCAAUUAUAUCAUUACAUUAACAGUUCAAGUGACCUUACUCGGAUGCAGCAUGUCAGCCCUACACACCUGGUUGCCUUUAUUUGGUUGAUAUCUUAUCUGCAAUAAGAAUGGAGGAAACAGAGACAAUGGUAGGAUGCCGCCCAGGAGGAAGCCCUGCAAAGGGAUUUUACCAUACUUUCUCAUUGGCGUGAUUGUCAUGUCCUCUCUCUCUCGCUCCUCUUCUCUCUGUCACUCCUCUCCUGUCUCUUCUGUCCUCUCUUCUCUGUCUCUUCGACAGCACAUGGCCUCGUGAUCAAGUUCAACGAAUGUGUGAAUGCCACAGACAAGUGAGCCUUCAACCCUCUCCACAAGGCAGCUCAGAAGGCUGAUGAUAUGUGCCCUGUUUAUGGACACUAUGCCCCCAGAUGCAGAGAAGAGGGAUCACCAGCUCAGCUCAUCAAACUGUCCAAUUUUUACAGGGGACAACAGACUUGAUCGAGGUCUUCACGGUCCAAAAAGCCUGGUAAAUGACCUGAUAAAUCCUACCCCCGCAAACCUAUGUGAACUUUUACGUUUGCGGCAUAUUUCAGAGAUAAAAUAACCAACAUUAGGUGGGUUAACAGUCAAGCAA
rnacentral:lncRNA from 1 species